rnacentral:rRNA from 1 species
UGACUAAGGUUUCCUGGGGAAGGCUCGUCCGCCCAGGGUUAGUCGGGACCUAAGCCGAGGCCGACAGGCGUAGGCGAUGGAUAACAGGUUGAUAUUCCUGUACCCGUUGUUUUUGUUUGAGCAAUGGAGGGACGCAGGAGGCUAAGGAAUGCAGACGAUCGGAAAUGUCUGUCCAAGCAGUAAGUCUGAAGAGGAGUCAAAUGCUUCUUUUCUUAAGGACAAGCUGUGAUGGGGAGGGAAAUAAUAGUACCGAAGUUCCUGAUGUCACACUGCCGAGAAAAGCUUCUAGUGAGAAAACAGCGGCCCGUACCGCAAACCGACACAGGUAGUCGAGGAGAGAAUCCUAAGGUGAGCGAGAGAACUCUCGUUAAGGAACUCGGCAAAAUGACCCCGUAACUUCGGGAGAAGGGGUGCUGAUCAUACGAUCAGCCGCAGUGAAUAGGCCCAAGCGACUGUUUAUCAAAAACACAGGUCUCUGCAAAAUCGUAAGAUGAAGUAUAGGGGCUGACGCCUGGCCGGUGCUGGAA